GAUAUCUGCACUGGUUGUUAAGUCUUUACUAACAGCUGUUGCCUCUGUUCUCAGAUCCAAGCCUGAACUCUGAGCCCACGAUCCUGGUUUGUCCCUGAAGUAUGAGGCUGGUGACUGGAGUAACAGUGUUUCUGACCUUGGGGACUGUGAUUGAUGCUAAGACCACCCAGCCCAGCUCCAUGGACUGUGCUGAAGGAGAAAACAUAAACCUCCCUUGUAACCACUCUACCAUUGGUGGAAAUGAGUAUAUACAUUGGUAUAGGCAAAAUCCCAAUCAGAGUCCACAGUAUGUCAUUCGUGGCUUACAAGGCACAGUGAACAGCAGCAUGGCCUCUCUGACCAUAGCUUCAGACAGAGAGUCCAGCACCUUGGUCCUGCCCCAGGUCACCCUGAGAGACACCGCUGUGUACUACUGCAUCCUAAGAGAGGCACACUGGGACAGAUGGGGCUGCACCUGUGCAGUAUCUCUCUUGUGGGAGGAAGGGGGGACACAGUGGGGGAGCAGUCACGAGAGCAAAUCUAGAGUCAUCUAGAAGGAGAGUCAGAGAGUAGUAAGAAAUGAGUAAAAUGAAGGGAAGGAAAAGGGAAGAAGAUGGAUAAAGAAAAGAAGAAAAGGACAAGGAAGAAGUGCAUCAUUGUUUGAUGUGGCUGAGAAGAAUUUUGGGAAUUAUGGGAAUACGAAGAAUUCCAAUUGCAACAUACAAAUAAAGUGAGAAGCAUUAGCAA